ensembl:snRNA Gm23511 predicted gene, 23511
AUACUUACCUGGCAGGGGAGAUACCAUGAUCACGAAGGUGGUUUUCCCAGGGUAAGGCUUAUCCAUUGCACUCCGGAUGUGCUGACCCCUGAGAUUUCUCCAAAUGCCGGAAACUCAACUGCAUAUUUUGUGGUAGUGGGGGGACUGCGUUCUCACUCUCCCCUG